AUACAUAGGGGGCGAGCGUUAUCCGGAUUUAUUGGGCGUAAAGGGUGCGUAGGCGGUAAAUUAAGUCUAAGGUUAAAGUGCAGGGCUCAACCCUGUGAUGCCUUAGAAACUGGUUUACUUGAGUUUGGUAGAGGUAAGUGGAACUCCAUGUGUAGCGGUAAAAUGCGUAAAUAUAUGGAAGAACACCAGUGGCGAAGGCGGCUUACUGGGCCACAACUGACGCUGAGGCACGAAAGCGUGGGGAGCAAACAGGAUUAGAUACCCUGGUAGUCCACGCUGUAAACGAUGAAUACUAAGUGUUGGAAAAAUCCAGUGCUGAAGUUAACGCAUUAAGUAUUCCGCCUGAGUAGUACGUACGCAAGAUUGAAACUUAAAGGAAUUGGCGGGG
rnacentral:rRNA from 1 species